rnacentral:rRNA from 1 species
AAUAGUUUCUUUGGUGGUGACCUACUACAUGGAUAACCGUAGUAAUUCUAGAGCUAAUACAUGCGUAAAUCUCGACUCACGAAGAGACGUAUUUAUUAGAUAAAGACCGACCUCGUUCUGCGGUGAAUCAUAAUAACUUCACGGACCGCAUGGCUUUAUGCCGGCGGUGUUCCAUUCAAAUUUCUGCCCUAUCAACUUUCGACGGUAGGAUAGAGGCCUACCGUGGUGUUCACGGGUGACGGAGAAUUAGGGUUCGAUUCCGGAGAGGGAGCCUGAGAAACGGCUACCACA